UACGUAGGGUGCGAGCGUUGUCCGGAAUUACUGGGCGUAAAGAGCUCGUAGGUGGUUUGUCGCGUUGUUCGUGAAAACUCACAGCUUAACUGUGGGCGUGCGGGCGAUACGGGCAGACUGGAGUACUGCAGGGGAGACUGGAAUUCCUGGUGUAGCGGUGGAAUGCGCAGAUAUCAGGAGGAACACCGGUGGCGAAGGCGGGGUCUCUGGGCAGUAACUGACGCUGAGGAGCGAAAGCCGUGGGGGAGCGAACAGG
rnacentral:rRNA from 1 species